GGAGAGGUGGCAGAGUGGUCGAAUGUACCUGACUCGAAAUCAGGCGUGUAUGAAAGUGCACCGUGGGUUCGAAUCCCACCCUCUCCGCCA
rnacentral:tRNA from 2 species